rnacentral:lncRNA from 1 species
GCAUGUCUUCAAGUAUUAACCUUCCUCCCAUCUUUGAGACAUCAAAAUUUGGGAAGCCUAAUAGACAGAAGGAUUCUGUGAAACAUUUGGGAUGGCAUUGCAAUCAACCAAGGAAAACUGAAGGAAAGAAGAAGGAAAACACACUUAUUGUCAUGCUAGGGCCAAAUCAGAGUUUGAGAGGUCCAACCCACCAAUACUAUCAGCCUCAACCCCGAGUUUACAUAUUAGAUCCACAUAACCACUUGCAACAAGGUUUCUUUCCCCAAAAUCCAAGAAAUCCCAUUCCACUUCCUCAAUAUCCUUUGAACAAUACACAAUUGUAUGCUCAUCCAUCUUCUUAU